rnacentral:rRNA from 1 species
UACGUAGGGGGCAAGCGUUGUCCGGAAUCAUUGGGCGUAAAGCGCGCGUAGGCGGCCCGGUAAGUCCGUUGUGAAAGUCAAAGGCUCAACCUUUGAACGCCGAUGGAUACUGCCGGGCUAGAGUCCGGAAGAGGCGAGUGGAAUUCCUGGUGUAGCGGUGGAAUGCGCAGAUAUCAGGAGGAACACCAGUGGCGAAGGCGGCACUCUGGGCCGGUACUGACGCUGAGAAGCGAAAGCAUGGGGAGCGAACAGG